AAUCCUCCGGGGAGAUUGUCUACUACAAAAUAGUAGCUAGAAGUGAUGCCCAUCUCGAUGUGAUAGAACCAUACUCGUCUCCAAUAAGGAUUUAUGUAAAGCACAACAGCAAUACCCAAUAGCACUAUUAUGUAAGACACAAUGAAACUCACAUAAAAGACAUCCAUGUCAAUUGAACCAUCGUCUUCACUAUUGUCAAUUGAUGUUCGUUCAAUUGCAGAGCAGUUAUUUCGCAAUAAUGCGCCACAAAGAAAAAGAUUUCCCAGGUAGCUGUUUUCAUCAAAUGUUGCAAAUUGUCCGG
rnacentral:lncRNA from 1 species